rnacentral:lncRNA from 1 species
UUCAUUUACAAAUAUAUAUAUUUGUAAGGAUUGGAAGUGGGAACUUACCGAAGUUGGUCGGAGUGUUUGUCGUCUGUUGGGUUGCCCGUAUGGAGAGAGAUGUUGUGGAAUUACCUUAAUUGACAAAGUUCUUGUUAAAGCUUGUUUUGAAAUAUUUAUUAUAAUCUAUUGUGUAUUUUUGUUAGUUAAAUUUAUGCUUUAUUUUAUGUUAACGAUGUUUUAUUUUAUAAUAGUUAAAUUACUAAUUCUGUUUUCAUUGUAUUUGAUUAUGCAAAUUGGAUUAUGUAUAAAAUAUUGGUGUUCAGAAGAGGGCGCGAGAUUCUCACCCGACGUAAUCAGUCAUCAACUUGUUAACUUGGUCGUGUUGGUUGAAGUUUUUUAUGUGUACAGAGAUGAUAAAGGAAGUUUUAUUAUUAUGGAUUGGUGGUGCAAAGCUGUU